rnacentral:rRNA from 1 species
CCUACGGGUGGCAGCAGUGAGGAAUAUUGGUCAAUGGACGCAAGUCUGAACCAGCCAUGCCGCGUGCAGGAAGACGGCUCUAUGAGUUGUAAACUGCUUUUUUACGAGGGUAAACGCAGAUACGCGUAUCUGUCUGAAAGUACCGUACGAAUAAGGAUCGGCUAACUCCGUGCCAGCAGCCGCGGUAAUACGGAGGCGUCAAGCGUUAUCCGGAUUUAUUGGGUUUAAAGGGUGCGUAGGCGGGCGGAUAAGUCAGAGGUGAAAUCCCGAGGCUCAACUUCGGAAUUGCAGUUGAUACUGUUAGGCUAGAGAGGAGUUGCGGUAGGCGGAAUGUAUGGUGUAGCGGUGAAAUGCUUAGAGAUCAUACAGAACACCGAUUGCGAAGGCAGCUUACCAAGCUACUUCUGACGUUGAGGCACGAAAGCGUGGGGAGCAAACAGGAUUAGAUACCCUGGUAGUC